rnacentral:lncRNA from 1 species
AAGACCCACUAACACUUAAUACCCAAUACCCUAAUACCCAAUACCUAACCCUAGGAAUUAGAGACUACAUAUAGACACAACCUAAACCCUUUGAGAUCUUCUUCAGCCGCAAAGGACAAGAACAUAACGCUCUCCUCCAUCUCCAGCAUCCAACGACACACAGACCUUGAAGCUUCAGCCGAUUUCCAUGGAUGAAAGCUAAUCUUUCUUAAUCUUCUUAAAACAAAAACACCCCUCUCUGAUUUUCAAAUCAAGCUAAAAUGUCAUGAAUUAGCAGCUAAAGUUGCUGCCAGUUCCAGCUUAAAUCCAGCCUCUCUUGCCUAUAAAAAUCUGUUCAAAAACGCCUAAGAAGAUCACCAAACACCACUUCUUCCCCCCAAACUUCAACAAACACUUCAGAGAAUUCCACAAAAGAUUUUCGCCAUCCUGUUUCUGUCCAAGUUCAAUCGAGUUAAAUCCGGCAAGAAUUUUGGUGAGUUUCGAGGUCUGAUCGUAGUUCCGUUCGACAGUUCGAGGACAUCAUUUUGGUCAGUGUUUUCAUGAAUUAUCAGUGUUUUCAUGAAUUAUUACAAUCGCAAAGGUCCGAUAUUAUUUCAGAUUUUCACAAGUGCUUGAACUCUAUAUUUGCUCUUUGGUUGAAUUUGCGUUACGUGUUCCAAUUAGUUAUUUUCUUAAUACAUUCUGUUGCGGUUUGUUUAUGUGAGUUUGUUAUUUUAAUUUGAUUCUUUUAUGAUUUAAAUGUUUGUGUGUUUGAUCUAGAUAAUUUCCAUGUUCAUUGUAAUUGUAAGGUUAGAAUGAAAACUAGCUUAAUUCUUAGAAGUAUUAGUGUAUCUGAUUUGCUUCACUAGUAGGCUUUCAAAUCUUAUAGUGAAAGAAUCCCCACUCUUGAAUGUAUUCUAUAAAGGGUAAUGCGGUUGGAUGUAGAUUUCUAGGUAUCUUGUACCUAUAUUAAUUAUCUAAGAGCAGUGUCUUGAGAACUGAUGCUAAUGGUUACAGUUCUCCUUUUGUUUCUAAAUUUCAUUGUUUAUACUGCAUAAAGACCAACCACUAUGUGAAUUUUGGAUCUACUUUUCGGAAGUUUCUUUUGAAGUUUGUAUGAGUGUUCCAAGAAUAAUAUUAAGUGGGCCUAGCCAUUUGCUUGAUUUGAAGUAAGAUUGUGCUCUUUCAAGAUUAUUGAACUCAUUUGGACCUAUAUGUAAGUCGGUUCAUGCUAACCCUUUCUCAAUGGACAUAUAGGCUAGCCAUCUCUUAUAAAGUAAACAUUAAAAUAGUUAUGAACAUUCGUUGUUUGAUUUAGUGGAAUACAAUUCUUUAAAAUUAGAAUCGAGGUACGCCAUUUAACAAAUU